CAUUAAGUUCUUUAGUGAGAUUUUGAAUUUUUAUUUCAAUAUAUAAUAAUUUAACGAUUUAUUCUUAAUGG
rnacentral:tRNA from 1 species